UGGUUCUCGCAUCGAUGAAGAACGCAGCGAAACGCGAUAGGUAAUGUGAAUUGCAGAAUUCCGUGAAUCAUCGAAUCUUUGAACGCACAUUGCGCCUACUGGUAUUCCGGUAGGCAUGUCUGUCUGAGCGUCAGCAAACACCCUCAGCGGUAGGCUUUUGUCUGCCCGCUGGUCUUGGGCGUGGACGAUAGGUUGCCUCACGGCGCCGCCGCCUGCCCUAAACUUGCUGCACGACCGCUGGCUACGGCUGGGUCAAUGGAGUGGUGUCACAAUCUUCCAGAAGGCCCUUCGGUUGUCCGGUGGCGUUAAACCUCACCUCAGAGUUUUGACCUCAGAUCAGAUAAGGAUACCCGCUGA
rnacentral:misc_RNA from 1 species